AGAAAAAAAAUUGGAUUUUCUUCCUCCGUCAAAUUCACGCCAUCUUCUUCACCCAUCUUCUUUUCCGACAUAGCCAUCUUCUUCUCCGACGUUGCCCAGCGACCGCCGCCGUCUUGAGUUUAGAUCUUCUCCAAAGUCGCCGCCAAUUCGAGGUCCGGCGAGCUCCACCACUUCUCCGACGAAUAGCAAAGCCCGCCGCAAAAUCCUCUCAAAAUCGUUCUGCUGCCGCUGCAGCCGCCGCUGAGUGAGAGUUGAGUGGGUGAGGCGUGUGUGAACUGAGAAAUUAAAACGCUUAUCGUGCGUUGCUGUAAUUUUUUUUUCAAAUUGGGGAAGAGGGCUAAAUUGAAUGUCUUAGGGACUGAAUUGAAAAUUUUGAAAAUUUCAUUUCAGUCAUAAAAUUCUAGAGGCUGGACAUAUUUAUCUGGAGGGUUUUUUUGUCUUUUCGCGGGCGGUCAACGGACAAAAAUCAAAAAGGGUCGAUUGUGCUUGAUUGAACACUUGUUAGGGGGGUUUUGGUGACUUAUUUUUUCCCAGGGGGUUUUUUGGCCUUUAGAAAUUACACAGGGGG
rnacentral:lncRNA from 1 species